AGAUAUCCACCGCCACCUCUUCAAAUUUGUCAAGAAAGUCCGGAUUUUUGCGUCGAUGGAUGAACCGAUUUUAGACGCGAUAUGUGAAAGAUUAAGGCAAAAGACAUAUAAAAAAGAAGGAACAACCUUAUAUGAAGGAGGGUUUGUGACAAAAUGGUUUUUAUUGUAAGAGGGAAAAUGGAGAGCACAGGAGAAGAUGGGAAUGUGGUUACGUUAUCUGAAGGUGACGUAUGUGGUGAAGAACUCCUCACAUGGUGCCUUGAACCUUCCUCUCUUAAUGGAGAUGCAAGGACACGGGGAAAGCCAGGAUACAAAUUGGUGUGCAAGAGGACAGUGAAAUGCUUAUCAAAUGUGGAGGCAUUCGUGCUUUGCGCUGCAGAUCUUGAAGAAGUCACCACCCUUUUUUGCUGGAUUUUU